GUUAUAUGGUCAAGUGAAUAAGCGCACACGGUGGAUGCCUAGGCGGUAGGAGGCGAUGAAGGACGUGGUAGCCUGCGAUAAGCUUCGGGGAGCCGGCAAACAGGCUUUGAUCCGGAGAUUUCCGAAUGGGGAAACCCACCUCUUCGGAGGUAUCUGCACCUGAAUCCAUAGGGUGUAGAGGCGAACCCGGGGAACUGAAACAUCUAAGUACCCGGAGGAAAAGAAAUCAACCGAGAUUCCCUCAGUAGCGGCGAGCGAACGGGGAACAGCCCAGUCCAUUGUAUCAACGGACGUCAUAGGAGAACGGUCUGGAAAGUCCGGCCAUAGUGGGUGAUAGCCCCGUAUCCGAAAUGGCGGCUGUUGUUGAUGGCGAAGAGUAGGGCGGGACACGUGGUAUCCUGUCUGAAUAUGGGGGGACCAUCCUCCAAGGCUAAAUACUACCUACCGACCGAUAGUGAACUAGUACCGUGAGGGAAAGGCGAAAAGAACCCCGGUGAGGGGAGUGAAAUAGAACCUGAAACCGUGUGCGUACAAGCAGUGGAAGCCUGUCUACGGACGGGUGACUGCGUACCUUUUGUAUAAUGGGUCAGCGACUUACUUCUCAGUGGCAAGGUUAACCGUAUAGGGGAGCCGUAGGGAAACCGAGUCUUAAUAGGGCGAUCAGUCGCUGGGAGUAGACCCGAAACCGGGCGAUCUACCCAUGGCCAGGGUGAAAGUAGGGUAAUACCUACUGGAGGCCCGAACCCACUACCGUUGCAAAGUUAGGGGAUGAGCUGUGGGUAGGAGUGAAAGGCUAAUCAAGCUCGGAGAUAGCUGGUUCUCCCCGAAAGCUAUUGAGGUAGCGCCUCGUGUCAUCACUCCCGGGGGUAGAGCACUGUUACGGCUAGGGGGGCAUCCCGCCUUACCAAACCGUUGCAAACUCCGAAUACCGGGAAGUGUUAUCACGGGAGACACACGGCGGGGGAUAAACUUCGUCGUGGAGAGGGAAACAACCCAGAUCGCCAGCUAAGGUCCCAAAAUCAUGGCUAAGUGGUAAACGAUGUGGGAAGGCAUAGACAGCCAGGAGGUUGGCUUAGAAGCAGCCAUCCUUUAAAGAAAGCGUAAUAGCUCACUGGUCGAGUCGGCCUGCGCGGCGGAAGUGCGAAUGCUGACAUGAGUAACGAUAAUGCGGGUGAAAAACCCGCACGCCGUAAGCCCAAGGUUUCCUGCGCAACGGUAAUCGGCGCAGGGUGAGUCGGUCCCUAAGGCGAGGCCGAAAGGCGUAGUCGAUGGAAAACCGGUUAAUAUUCCGGUACCGCGUGUUACUGCGAUGAGGGGACGGAGAAGGCUAGGCCGGCCGGGUGUUGGAUGUCCCGGUUUAAGCGUGUAGGGAGUGCUUCUAGGCAAAUCCGGAGGCACAUAUCCCAAGGCGUGAUGACGAGGCCCUUUUUUAAGGGCUGAAGUGGUUGAUGCCAAGCUUCCAGGAAAAGCCUCUAAGCUUCAGGUAACACGCGACCGUACCCCAAACCGACACAGGUGGGCGAGGAGAGAAUCCUAAGGCGCUUGAGAGAACUCGGGUGAAGGAACUAGGCAAAAUAGCACCGUAACUUCGGGAGAAGGUGCGCCCCCAUUACGUGAAGGGACUUGCUCCUGGAGCGGAAGGGGGUUGCAGUGACCAGGUGGCUGCGACUGUUUACUAAAAACACAGCACUCUGCAAACUCGGAAGAGGAAGUAUAGGGUGUGACGCCUGCCCGGUGCCGGAAGGUUAAUUGAUGGGGUCAGCCCUCGGGCGAAGCUCUUGAUCGAAGCCCCGGUAAACGGCGGCCGUAACUAUAACGGUCCUAAGGUAGCGAAAUUCCUUGUCGGGUAAGUUCCGACCUGCACGAAAGACCCCGUGAACCUUUACUAUAGCUUUACACUGAACUUUGAGCCUGUUUGUGUAGGAUAGGUGGGAGGCUUUGAAGCCGGGACGCCAGUUUCGGUGGAGCCAACCUUGAAAUACCACCCUGGCAUGCUCGAGGUUCUAACCUAGGCCCGUCAUCCGGGUCGGGGACAGUGUAUGGUGGGUAGUUUGACUGGGGCGGUCUCCUCCCAAAGAGUAACGGAGGAGCACAAAGGUACCCUCGGUGCGGUCGGAAAUCGCACUUUGAGUGCAAAGGCAUAAGGGUGCUUGACUGCGAGACAGACAAGUCGAGCAGGGGCGAAAGCCGGUCUUAGUGAUCCGGUGGUUCUGUAUGGAAGGGCCAUCGCUCAACGGAUAAAAGGUACUCCGGGGAUAACAGGCUGAUUCCUCCCAAGAGUCCAUAUCGACGGGGGAGUUUGGCACCUCGAUGUCGGCUCAUCACAUCCUGGGGCUGUAGCCGGUCCCAAGGGUAUGGCUGUUCGCCAUUUAAAGUGGUAC
rnacentral:rRNA from 1 species